AUUCAUGUGUCUUCAGUUUCUUCCGAAAGAAAAAAAUUAGGAAACGCUUGUAAUCGUAGGUAUGCGACUUUCUUAUACAAUAUUUACAAAUAUUAUUAAAAUUCCUCAUUAUACAGGUCAUCAGCUAGCGGAAUUCAAGGAAAAAGUAUCUCCAUUCUACAUUCCAGUCUGGACAACCCGCAAUGAUCGUAAUUCAGGAACGUAAAGGAAAGUUACAGAAAAAGCUAAUGAUUCUGAACCUGGUCUUCCCCCGAGAAAAUGAACCCUGUUCGGAACGGAACGGAUCAUCAUCCGGAAACAGCAUUUAGGACGUAUGGCAGGAUGAUCAGCUCCUGUUGCGGAGCAUCCGAAAAACGAUCACUAAGGGCCAAUUUCUUCACCUCCGCUUAACUCCUAAGCACUAAGCGUAGUUUAAGCACUAAGCGGAGGUGAAGAAAUCGGCCCUAAGAAGAAUUUGAUAUACAAGUACUGGUCGAUAUAUUUGAUAAAUAAAAUUUAAAUUUUACUGAUUUUUAA